CGCACCUUGCGCCCCUUGGUAUUCCGAGGGGCAUGCCUGUUUGAGUGUCAUUAAAUUCUCAACCUCAUAAACUUUUGUUUAUUGAGGAUUGGAUGUGAGGGUCUGCUGGCUUGUAACAGAGUCAGCUCCCUUGAAAUGCAUUAGUGGACUUUAGCUGUCUUUUGUGGGCCACAUUGGUGUGAUAAUUAUCUACGCCUUUAUGGUCUGCAGUUUGGAGAUUGCAGUGUAAAAGCUGCUCUCUCUGUUGAGCUAUCCGCUUCGAACCGUCCUAAGUUAUUGGACAAUUUUGAUUUGUUUGACCUCAAAUCAGGUAGGACUACCCGCUGAACUUAA
rnacentral:misc_RNA from 1 species